rnacentral:sRNA from 1 species
UCCUCCGGCAUAAUAACAACGAUGAAAUUCCUCUUUGACGGGCCAAUAGAAAUAUUGGCCACUUUUUU